UCCNCCAAGCUAUGCUCUAUUAGGGCGCC
rnacentral:piRNA from 1 species